UUAAGCGACUAAGCGUACACGGUGGAUGCCCUGGCAGUCAGAGGCGAUGAAGGACGUGCUAAUCUGCGAAAAGCGUCGGUAAGGUGAUAUGAACCGUUAUAGCCGGCGAUGUCCGAAUGGGGAAACCCAGUGCAAUUCGUUGCACUAUCGUUAACUGAAUACAUAGGUUAACGAGGCGAACCGGGGGAACUGAAACAUCUAAGUACCCCGAGGAAAAGAAAUCAACCGAGAUUCCCCCAGUAGCGGCGAGCGAACGGGGAGCAGCCCGGAGUCUGAAUCAGCUUGUGUGUUAGUGGAAGCGUCUGGAAAGUCGCAGGGUACAGGGUGAUACUCCCGUACACUAAAACGCACAGGUUGUGAACUCGAAGAGUAGGGCGGGACACGUGGUAUCCUGUCUGAAUAUGGGGGGACCAUCCUCCAAGGCUAAAUACUCCUGACUGACCGAUAGUGAACCAGUACCGUGAGGGAAAGGCGAAAAGAACCCCGGCGAGGGGAGUGAAAAAGAACCUGAAACCGUGUACGUACAAGCAGUAGGAGCCCACUAGUUGGGUGACUGCGUACCUUUUGUAUAAUGGGUCAGCGACUUAUAUUCUGUAGCAAGGUUAACCGUAUAGGGGAGCCGCAGGGAAACCGAGUCUUAACUGGGCGUUAAGUUGCAGGGUAUAGACCCGAAACCCGGUGAUCUAGCCAUGGGCAGGUUGAAGGUUGGGUAACACUAACUGGAGGACCGAACCGACUAAUGUUGAAAAAUUAGCGGAUGACUUGUGGCUGGGGGUGAAAGGCCAAUCAAACCGGGAGAUAGCUGGUUCUCCCCGAAAGCUAUUUAGGUAGCGCCUCGUGAACUCAUCUUCGGGGGUAGAGCACUGUUUCGGCUAGGGGGUCAUCCCGACUUACCAACCCGAUGCAAACUACGAAUACCGAAGAAUGUUAUCACGGGAGACACACGGCGGGUGCUAACGUCCGUCGUGAAGAGGGAAACAACCCAGACCGCCAGCUAAGGUCCCAAAGUCAUGGUUAAGUGGGAAACGAUGUGGGAAGGCCCAGACAGCCAGGAUGUUGGCUUAGAAGCAGCCAUCAUUUAAAGAAAGCGUAAUAGCUCACUGGUCGAGUCGGCCUGCGCGGAAGAUGUAACGGGGCUAAACCAUGCACCGAAGCUGCGGCAGCGACACUAUGUGUUGUUGGGUAGGGGAGCGUUCUGUAAGCCGUUGAAGGUGGCCUGUGAGGGUUGCUGGAGGUAUCAGAAGUGCGAAUGCUGACAUAAGUAACGAUAAUGCGGGUGAAAAACCCGCACGCCGGAAGACCAAGGGUUCCUGUCCAACGUUAAUCGGGGCAGGGUGAGUCGACCCCUAAGGCGAGGCCGAAAGGCGUAGUCGAUGGGAAACAGGUUAAUAUUCCUGUACUCGGUGUUACUGCGAAGGGGGGACGGAGAAGGCUAUGUUGGCCGGGCGACGGUUGUCCCGGUUUAAGCAUGUAGGCGGAUGUUCCAGGUAAAUCCGGAACGUUACUAACGCUGAGGUGUGAUGACGAGGCACUACGGUGCUGAAGUGACAAAUGCCCUGCUUCCAGGAAAAGCCUCUAAGCAUCAGGUAACAUCAAAUCGUACCCCAAACCGACACAGGUGGUCAGGUAGAGAAUACCAAGGCGCUUGAGAGAACUCGGGUGAAGGAACUAGGCAAAAUGGUGCCGUAACUUCGGGAGAAGGCACGCUGAUGGUAGGUGAAGCGACUUGCUCGUGGAGCUGAAAUCAGUCGAAGAUACCAGCUGGCUGCAACUGUUUAUUAAAAACACAGCACUGUGCAAACACGAAAGUGGACGUAUACGGUGUGACGCCUGCCCGGUGCCGGAAGGUUAAUUGAUGGGGUUAUCCGUAAGGAGAAGCUCUUGAUCGAAGCCCCGGUAAACGGCGGCCGUAACUAUAACGGUCCUAAGGUAGCGAAAUUCCUUGUCGGGUAAGUUCCGACCUGCACGAAUGGCGUAAUGAUGGCCAGGCUGUCUCCACCCGAGACUCAGUGAAAUUGAACUCGCUGUGAAGAUGCAGUGUACCCGCGGCAAGACGGAAAGACCCCGUGAACCUUUACUAUAGCUUGACACUGAACACUGGUCCUUGAUGUGUAGGAUAGGUGGGAGGCUUUGAAGUGUGGACGCCAGUCUGCAUGGAGCCAUCCUUGAAAUACCACCCUUUAAUGGCUGGUGUUCUAACGUGGGCCCCUAAUCGGGGUUGCGGACAGUGUCUGGUGGGUAGUUUGACUGGGGCGGUCUCCUCCUAAAGAGUAACGGAGGAGCACGAAGGUCAGCUAAUCCUGGUCGGACAUCAGGAGGUUAGUGCAAUGGCAUAAGCUGGCUUGACUGCGAGCGUGACGGCGCGAGCAGGUGCGAAAGCAGGUCAUAGUGAUCCGGUGGUUCUGAAUGGAAGGGCCAUCGCUCAACGGAUAAAAGGUACUCCGGGGAUAACAGGCUGAUACCGCCCAAGAGUUCAUAUCGACGGCGGUGUUUGGCACCUCGAUGUCGGCUCAUCACAUCCUGGGGCUGAAGUAGGUCCCAAGGGUAUGGCUGUUCGCCAUUUAAAGUGGUACGCGAGCUGGGUUUAGAACGUCGUGAGACAGUUCGGUCCCUAUCUGCCGUGGGCGCUGGAGAAUUGAGGGGGGCUGCUCCUAGUACGAGAGGACCGGAGUGGACGCAUCACUGGUGUUCGGGUUGUCAUGCCAAUGGCAUUGCCCGGUAGCUAAAUGCGGAAGAGAUAAGUGCUGAAAGCAUCUAAGCACGAAACUUGCCCCGAGAUGAGUUCUCCCUGACUCCUUGAGAGUCCUGAAGGAACGUUGAAGACGACGACGUUGAUAGGCCGGGUGUGUAAGCGCAGCGAUGCGUUGAGCUAACCGGUACUAAUGAACCGUGAGGCUUAACCU
rnacentral:rRNA from 1 species